CAAGGUUUCCGUAGGUGAACCUGCGGAAGGAUCAUUGUCGAUACCUUGUCGUAUGACCCGCGAACAAGUUUAAUCACUGCGGAUGGAGCCCUGUGCUCCUGAAGCAAGGUCCCCUGGGGGGUGCUAUGCUCCUUGCGGAGGCCACGUAAACAAACCCCGGCGCGGAAAGCGCCAAGGAAAAUGAACAGAAAAGCGAGAUCUCUACAAUCACCUCGGAAACGAUGUGUGCAUGGUAGUUGUUUCUCCUUUCAUAACCAAAACGACUCUCGGCAACGGAUAUCUCGGCUCUCGCAUCGAUGAAGAACGUAGCGAAAUGCGAUACUUGGUGUGAAUUGCAGAAUCCCGUGAACCAUCGAGUCUUUGAACGCAAGUUGCGCCCAAAACCCUCGGGUCGAGGGCACGUCUGCCUGGGUGUCACGCAACGUCGCCCCAUCACUCCCCUCAURCGGGACUCGUGAAAUUGGGGCGGAAAUUGGCCUCCCGUGAMCUUCAAGAUCGUGGUUGGCCCAAACAYGAGACCAUGUCGGUCAAUGCCGUGGCAUUCGGUGGUUGAAAAUACCCUCACAACGCCUCGUUCAUUGGCCGUACUACAAGGAUCUCACCGACCCUACUUAUCCGACGCGACCCCAGGUCAGGCGGGAUUACCCGCUGAGUUUA
rnacentral:rRNA from 1 species